rnacentral:rRNA from 1 species
AAAACAUGUCUGUUUGGAGAUAUAAACAGUCUAGCCUGCCCACUGAUAAGCAUUAAAGGGCCGCGGUAUUCUGACCGUGCAAAGGUAGCAUAAUCGUUAGUUUCUUAAUUGGGAUCUUGUAUGAAUGGUUGGACAAAAGAAAAUCUGUCUUUAUAGUUGUUAUUGAAUUUAACUUUUGAGUGAAAAGGCUUAAAUAAAUUAAAGGGACGAUAAGACCCUAUAAAGCUUGAUAUUAGGAAACACUAACCUUAAUUUUGAGAUUAUAAAGGUUUAGUGUGGAGCUUUUAUUAUAUUGGGGCGAUAGAAGUAAAAUGGUUAGUAACUGCUUCUUUUUUAGACAAAAAUAAGUGAGUGAGAAAGUAAAGGAUCCUUUGUGAAGAUUUAAAGAAUAAGUUACUUUAGGGAUAACAGCGUUAUUUUUUUUGAGAGUUCUUAUCGAAAAAAAAGUUUGCGACCUCGAUGUUGAAUUAAAAAUUCUUUACAAUUGCAGCAGUUGUAAGAGAAGGUCUGUUCGACCUUUAAAAUUUUACAUGAUUUGAGUUCAGACCGGCGUGAGCCAGGUCGGUUUCUAUCUUUUAAAUGGAAGGAGGCUAUUUUAGUACGAAAGGAUUAAAUAG